UUUGAAAGCUGGUACCUUCGGUAUCCGCGUUGUAACCUCGAGACACGUUUUCCGUGCGGCGCUAUGGACAAGUUCCUUGGAACAGGACAUCGUAGAGGGUGAAAAUCCCGUACUUGCCAUGGAUGUACCGUGCUUUGCGAUACGUGCUCUAAGAGUCGAGUUGUUUGGGAUUGCAGCUCAAAAUGGGUGGUAGACUCCAUCUAAAGCUAAAUAUCGGGGAGAGACCGAUAGCGAACAAGUACCGUGAGGGAAAGAUGAAAAGCACUUUGGAAAGAGAGUUAAAAGUACGUGAAAUUGUCGAAAGGGAAGCGCUUGAAGUCAGCCAUGCCGCUCAGGACUCAGCCUGGCUUUUGCUUGGUGUAUUUCCUGGGUAGCAAGUCAGCAUUGGUUUGGAUCGUCGGAGAAGCAUAGUCGGAAUGUGGCGCCCUCGGGCGUGUUAUAGCCUUCUAUUGGAUACGACGAUCUAGACCAAGGAACGCAGCGCGCCUUAUGGCGGGUCUUCGGACACCUUCGCGCUUAGGAUGCUGGCGUAAUGGCUUUAAGUGGCCCGUCUUG
rnacentral:rRNA from 1 species